rnacentral:rRNA from 1 species
GAUCAUGGCUCAGGACGAACGCUGGCGGCGUGCCUAACACAUGCAAGUCGAGCGAGGAGAUCCUUCGGGAUGAUCCUAGCGGCGGACGGGUGAGUAACACGUGGGCAACCUGCCUCAUAGAGAGGAAUAGCCUUCCGAAAGGGAGAUUAAUACCUCAUAACAUUGCAGUUUCGCAUGGAACAGCAAUUAAAGGAGUAAUCCGCUAUGAGAUGGGCCCGCGGCGCAUUAGCUAGUUGGUGAGGUAACGGCUCACCAAGGCGACGAUGCGUAGCCGACCUGAGAGGGUGAUCGGCCACAUUGGGACUGAGACACGGCCCAGACUCCUACGGGAGGCAGCAGUGGGGAAUAUUGCACAAUGGGGGAAACCCUGAUGCCAGCAACGCCGCGUGAGUGAUGACGGCCUUCGGGUUGUAAAGCUCUGUCUUCAGGGACGAUAAUGACGGUACCUGAGGAGGAAGCCACGGCUAACUACGUGCCAGCCGCCGC